CUAGAGAAAUCAUAUGAAAUUUUCACUUUGUAAUAAGCACACCAUACAUACCAGCCUUCUUAAAUUGCUAAAAAGGUUUUGAAUCAGAAAAAUCAAAUCAAAUAAAUUCAAACCAUGUGGAAGGAAGGCCUGUUCACUUUAAACGAUUAAACAAUUUGUGCUUCUAAACAUAUUUUUGAUGGUUUAUAUGUUUAAAAGUUCAAGUCAAAUAAGCUGUUUUGAUCCGUAGAAUUGAAGCCAAAAUAUUUUAAGAUGGUCAACUUGUAAACUUUUUGACAUUGACUCAUGUUUUCUCUUGCCAGAUUAAUGGCUUUUAUCUCUUUGAGACUCCCUUGGCUUCUGAGUGCCUCUUCUCAAUUUUAAAUAGUGGUUCAAACCCCAGUUAAGUUCUUGGAACCUGAGACAAGCUCCAGUGAUUUAAAGCAUUUUCAAAAAAUUCUAGUACAAGUAACACCGAUUUCUUCUGUACACUUCAAACAACAUCACCUCAAUUUUGCAGGGCUCUAAGAGAAAAAUCUAUAGUAGAGACGUAAACCUCAAUUGCUCUCUGAUAAUUUGGCUCAAUUUCCUGCAUUCAAAGCCUGUCCUGUUUUGCCCACCUGAGCUACAGUGUUCAGGGACUUCUCUGGAGUAAGAAAGUACCUGCUAAACAACAUGUGAAGUGGGGGGACUAUGUUUUGCAGCUCUUCUUUCUUCUGUUGAGCAGAGAUGGCAGAGAGGAAUGAACAUUUUUGUAUAGCUGCUCUUGGUGGAGGAGACACCAGGGGAAACUUGGGCAGUGGCAGAGGGAAUGAGGAAAUAGAACAACUGUUGUGGGCUGCACAGAGCAAAAGGCUCCAACAAAGAUAUGGCUCAAAAUCCAGGAGUGUUUGUGCAUGUCUCCAUAGUCCAUCUCAUCCAAUUCCUAGCAAUUUCUGUAAUACGUAAUAUAUGAGUCUGAUGUGGUGAUACAGCCUGUGUGUCUUUCUCUUAGUCCCUCCUAAUUAACUUUUAACUUGCCCCUGCUGAGAGAGGAUCUCAAGGUGUUUCACUUUCACCAGAUGGCCAGAAAGGAUGGAAGAGCUAUUCCCCCUGAGGCAAGUCCAGCCAAGGGAAAGAAUCUUGGAGCCCUCAGUAUCAGGCAAUCCACACAGCAUAACAAUUUAAGAACAUCCAAACUGCUGCAGAAGUUUUGGCUGCAGUUUGAUUUUUUAGGAAACCAAAGAACCUAACCAUGGAUCACAAUAAAAAACAAAAUUCUUUUUUGGUACUACUCACAACAAAAAACAAAAUUAAUUUUUGGUACUACUCAAUGAACGAGAGGAAACAUGGAAUCACAGAAUCAUAGAGUUAAUAAAGUUGGAGAAGGCCUCUGAGAUCACCAAAUCCAUCUGGUAACCUAGCACCUCCAUGGCCACCACUGAAGUGUCCCCUCAAGUGCCAUAUCAACAUGUGUUUUGGACACAUCCAGGGAUGAUGACUCUACUACUUCCCUGAGUAAUCCAUUCCAAUGCUUUACAACCCUUUUUGUGGAGAAUUUUUUCCUAAUAUUGCAGUCCUUGACUGAUUCUGCUUUACACCAGUGCCUCUUUGAUACAGGCUCAGUUAAAAUUUCAUGGUUGAGCUGGUGCAACUUUUCUAUGUGGUCCUUUUUAAAAUGAUUUGAUUUUUUUUCCCCCACCAGGAGAACAAAGAGAAACUGAACUGAUAGCAAGCAGAUUAACCCACUGAAAAGACAUUGGGUCAGGGUUAUGGUUUGGGAUAUUUGAAGACUGUGAAUAUUGCUAGAACAGAAUCAGAAAGAGAGGUGGCCUUUCUUUUGUACAAGUUUCACUUUAUCAGCUGCAGUGGAGUUUUUCCCAAUCUAAACCAGUGUUAGAGAAAGAGGUGAAGCACAGGGAACAGCAAGAGUGAGAAUUUUUGAAUUAGUGAACGGAAAAAUCUGGACCAUAUUUAAGAUUUAAGCACAUACAUUUCAUACACAGAAGAAUGAUGGAAAGGCAAAAAGAAAAAAAAAAAAAAAAAGCUUGUGAAGAUGCUAAAUGCAAUUUAUUCCAAGAAAUAAGAUUCAAGGAAGUGUUUGAGCAGAAAAAAAUAUGUUGUAUGCAAAGCAAAAAAAAAAAAAAAAGAAAUGUAGCAAAAACAAAUCCUCCUUGGCAUUUACUCCAGAGAACAGAGAAUACCAGGAAGACAAGACAAUAAUUAAGCUUCUGUGUUGCAUUACUUUAAAAAUUCACUUGAAUGAAAGGAAGCAGUACAAUAAUGAACUGAGACAGACAGCACUGUUCAAUUAGAGGUUAAAUUUAAGGGAGUUUAUAAGAGCAACACUUAACAAAGAACAACUUGGUUGAACUUAUUAUUAUGGAAAAGGGGGAAAAAAGUUGUGGUGUGUUAAAUGGCAUUUAUAAAAUAGGCGGAUCUGAUCAAACCGAUCCAGAUUAGUCCUCCACAGCAGUAAGACCUUAAAAUUAGGUCAGGGGAUGAAAGGAGAGCUGAGUCUGAACUGUUUCAUAUGAAGGCGAUGUGACAUAUGGAACACGUUACAGCUCAGAGAGCAUGAAUGUUUUCAGGAAAGAAAAUGACAGGGCAAUUCAUAAGGAAAUUUACAACCAUGGAAGCUUCAAAAGGAAUACAAUUCCUAUUUAUCUGAGUAUUUGUUUAGGGGAGUCAAGCACUGCCUGUGCUCCAAAGGAUAAACAUUAUUUAUUCUUCUUUCCACCUUCCAAACAAUCGUGUUUGUGGGGUUUGGUUUGUUCCAUUUUCAUUGGGCUGCAAUUUUGCCUUCCCAGAACACAAAGGACAAGAGCUACUAACAUUUUAAGGGCUAUGUUCUUUAGCUUCAAUAGUAAUGGCUUAAAAACCAUCUUUUUUUGUAUUCUGUUCUGCCUUCACAAGGAGUUCAACAAGUGAAGACUUUUCAGUACAAAACAGUCCUUGAACAAGUUGUUCCUCAGCCUCCCUGCUAGGUAUUUCAGAUUCUGUCUCCUGAAGGAAAAUAUUGAACACUAAUACAGAACUUCAAUUUCAAAUCUUGAACCUGAGACCCUACUGUCAUCUGAAAAUUUCUCUUGAGUUAGAAACAAACUGAAGAAAAUUGAGAGAGACAAUCAUUCCUUGUCUUUACACCGUAUAUAAAACUCUAAUUUUCACUGACAAAAAUCGCAGGCUAGGAGGAAGGCAAUGAAGUUACAAUACAUUUUGUGGAGUGAUACCUGCAUGAAAGACAUUUCUUCUGUAGGAAUGUAGAUGAACUAGUCUCUCUUCUUGCAGUUUGCUGUUUUUUUCUUCCACAUAGCUGUAGACCAGCACAACCAGCUUCAGUCUAAACUCAGUAUUAUUCCCAAAUUUAAGGAAAAGGAAAUAAUUUGGUGAACUGCUGAUCUUAGCUAGAGCACAAAAAAAAGAGGACAAGGAGAGCAUUUUGUUUUACCAGCUUGUUGUUUAGAUAUUUGUAUAUUCCAUUUUUCAAUAUUUUCCUAUGGUGGUUUUAAAAUAAUUGGAUCAGUUCUGGGAUCCUUUUCUUAAGAAUGCUGCAUCAGACACAUUGCACCUGCAAGUCUAACAAGACUUUUUAUAUCUGGGGGGUUGUGAACCUUUGAGGAAUAGGGAGAGGCAAUUCAGAGAGUAGCCGUUGAUUCAUGGAGUGGCCAUGGAUGUAUUUGCAUGUGGAUUCAGGGAAACGCGGAGUCACAGCCUCAGGAGAAGCAAACACAGGUGCAGUUCUGGGUGAAAUGCAGCAGCUCUUCCCCGGCAAGGCUCAGUGCUUGGGACAAACUCCAGAGCAGCAAUGUUGUCUCUCCUAAACCGUCUUAACACUGGAAGGGGCUGCUCAGGGAGGUUUGGAGUCCCCAUUCCUGGAGGUGGGAAUGACUAGAUAUGGCACUCAGUGCUCUGGGAUGGGUGACAAAGUGGUUGGCAGUCUCAAGUUGAACUCGAUACUCUUAAAGGUCUUUUCCAACCUUAAUAAUUUUGUGAUUCAGUGGUUCUAUGCCCUCAGUGCAAACAUCUGUGUUCAAGGGUCACAGCAGAGCUCUCAGAAAAACAAAUAAACGCCGUUUUAAAAAAUUUUAUUGACAGAAAUAUCUCAGGUUAACUUCAGGGUCUAUUUCAAUUAUACCCAAACAAAAGCUCACUUCAUUUCUAACUAGCAUUCCCUAUAUUCCCUGUAUUUCUUUUUCCUAGUGGGUGCAAGUCCUGUCUGUACUCAUAAACCAGGCUUAGGAAUACAAGAUUUUUCAUAAUGAAACUCUACACUUUUGAAUUUGCAGCCCUUGCUUUAUUCUGUUUGUUUGCUUGAUUUUACUGUUUUCUUUACUUUACAAAAGAAAAAGGAAAUCAGAAGAUGUUAAAAAAGACAGAGGUUGUUUUCAGCUUCUGAAACAAAAAAAAAAAAAAAAAAAAAAAAAAAACAAAA